rnacentral:rRNA from 1 species
GUCGAACGAAGCACCUGAGAAUGAUUCUUCGGAUCAAGUCUCUUGUGACUGAGUGGCGGACGGGUGAGUAACGCGUGGGUAACCUGCCUCACACAGGGGGAUAACAGUUGGAAACGACCGCUAAUACCGCAUAACCCGUUGGUGCCGCAUGGCACUGCACGGAAAAGAUUUUAUCGGUGUGAGAUGGACCCGCGUCUGAUUAGCCAGUUGGCAGGGUAACGGCCUACCAAAGCGACGAUCAGUAGCCGGCCUGAGAGGGUGAACGGCCACAUUGGGACUGACACACGGCCCAGACUCCUGCGGGAGGCAGCAGUGGGGAAUAUUGCACAAUGGGGGAAACCCUGAUGCAGCGACGCCGCAUGAGUGAAGAAGUAUUUCCCCCCACAAAGCUCUAUCAGCAGGGAAGAAAAUGACAAAACAUGAUUAUGAAGCCCCGGCUAACUACGUGCCAGCAGCCGCGGUAAUACGUAGGGGGCAAGCGUUAUCCGGAUUUACUGGGUGUAAAGGGAGCGUAGACGGUGAUGCAAGUCAGAAGUGAAAGCCCGGGGCUCAACUCCGGGACUGCUUUUGAAACUGUGUGACUGGAGUGCAGGAGAGGUAAGCGGAAUUCCUGGUGUAGCGGUGAAAUGCGUAGUUCUCUGGAAAAACACCAGUGGCGAAGGCGGCUUACUGGACUGUAACUGACGUUGAGGCUCGAAAGC